AAUUUUGGACCAUGGGGGACACCCUGCUCCCGCCAUCCAGCGUGUGCGAUGAAGGCCUUCGGGUUGUAAAGCACUUUUGUCAGGGAAGAAAAGGUGCUGGCUAAUACCCGGAACUGCUGACGGUACCUGUAGCAUAUGCACCGUCUAACUACGUGCCAGCCUCCGCGGUAAUACGUAGGGUGUAACCGUUAAUCGGCAUUACUGGGCGUAAAGCGUGCGCAGGCGGUUCGGAAAGAAGGAUGUGAAAUCCCAUGGCUCAACCUUGGAACUGCAUUCUUAACUACCGAACUAGAGUAUGUCAGAGGGGGGUAGAAUUCCGCGUGUAGCAGUGAAAUGCGUAGAUAUGCGGAGGAAGACCGAUGGCGAAGGCAGCCCCCUGGGAUAAUACUGACGCUCAUGCACGAAAGCGUGGGUAGCAAACAGG
rnacentral:rRNA from 1 species